AGAGAAUAAAAAGCGGAGAGUUCUGAAUGUUUUACUCUAAACUCAAACUGAAAACAGAUCAAGGUGCUGGAUCAAAUGAUGUGACGUAUGCUCAGGUUAAAUAGAAAUGACAAGAAUCCCGGGAUACUGAUUUCUGUUGAGAAGAGCUGACCAGGAUCUUCAAUGCUGUGUAAUAACCUUUAUUGAGCACCUGAUGUCAGUAGAUUUAUCAGAACUUAAUAUUAGAGAUUCAAACCCUCGUGUGAGUCAAAAAG